CCUACGGGAGGCAGCAGUGAGGAAUAUUGGUCAAUGGCCGGAAGGCUGAACCAGCCAAGCCGCGUGAGGGAGGAAGGCGCAGAGCGUCGUAGACCUCUUUUGCCGGGGGACAAAAGGCCGGACUCGUCCGGUUCUGAGUGUACCUGGAGAAAAAGCAUCGGCUAACUCCGUGCCAGCAGCCGCGGUAAUACGGAGGAUGCGAGCGUUAUCCGGAUUUAUUGGGUUUAAAGGGUGCGCAGGCGGUCCUUUAAGUCGGCGGUAAAAUCGCGGGGCUCAACCCCGCCGAGCCGUUGGAACUGGGAGCCUUGAGUGCGGCGGAGGCAUGCGGAAUGCGCGGUGUAGCGGUGAAAUGCAUAGAUAUCGCGCAGAACCCCGAUUGCGAAGGCAGCAUGCCGGGCCGCCACUGACGCUGAGGCACGAAAGCGUGGGGAUCGAACAGGAUUAGAUACCCGUGUAGUC
rnacentral:rRNA from 1 species